UACGAGAGGCCCAAACGUUAUUCGGAAUUACUGGGCUUAAAGAGUUCGUAGGCGGCGCAGAAAGUAGGGUGUGAAAGCCCCGGGCUCAACCUGGGAAUGGCGAUGGAUACUGGCUCGCUAGAGUGCGGUAGAGGAGAGUGGAAUUCCCGGUGUAGCAGUGAAAUGCGUAGAGAUCGGGAGGAACAUCAGUUGCGAAGGCGGCUCUCUGGACCAGCACUGACACUGAGGCACGAAAGCGUGGGGAGCAAACAGG
rnacentral:rRNA from 1 species